rnacentral:lncRNA from 1 species
AGCCACCGUGCCCGGCCAUGUAUCACAUUUUUAAAGUACCAUUAAUAUGAUAACAAAGAAAAGAAUGUUGAAUUUAUAGACAGCAAUUGUCCUUUUUGUAGAAAAAUAUUGAGCUCCUGUAUUUCAGGUUAAAAUGGCAUGUCAAUUCUUCAGACGAAGUAACUGAACAUAUCAAAUAGUAUCUUCAGGUCAUAUAGCUGGUAGAAGACUUGAAACUAGAAACCGGAGCUGAAAUGAAGUCAAAAAUUCUCACUUUGGUAUGAUUUCAUGUUUCUGAAAAAAAUAUCAAGUCAUACAGUGCAUUAAAAAAUUUUUCUGAUAUCUCUUUGAUAUAUAUGUGUAUCAAAGUACUUUUUUAUGUAUAUAUGACAUAUGUGUGUGUGUGUGUGUGUGUGUCUCCUGUGCUUAACUCCAUGCCUAGAACAUAGUAUUUAGUCUUUGCUAUUUAUUCCAUUAUUUAAUUUUAUAUUUAUCAAUAAUAUAUUUAAACUGCUACUUUACAAUUUAAUUUUUAAUGUUAUUAACUUGAGGAGGAUAAAACACUCUAAACAUAAUUUCAC